CCAACGAGACCAACUGCAGCGGGAGAAAAAAUUAUAUAAUUGAAAACUUCUUUCGAAUACGAAUUUACUGAUAUAAUUUUUGCUCCCGCCGCAAUCGGUCUUGAUAGUUAAAUUUACGGUCAAAGUUAAAGCACGGGGAUAGAGGAAGCAAGAAUGAAGGGAAUAUAUAGCAGCCUAACCCUAGAUUUUAGGUAGACUGUCCCAUCCAUCAGCUGCCGCAGUCGCACUCAUCCCCACCUCGGGAUCUUCCCGGAUCCAUCUGGCAGCUACCCACAGGCCAGCGGUCUCCCCCUCGAUCACCAUUCCACCAGUCGCCUCCGGAUCCAAAAACCCACCAACCAGAGCCAGCCCACAGCCGCAUCGACCUCCUCCCCGAGCAUCGCGUCCGGCAGAGAGCCGAGUUGCCGGACUAGCAUAUGAGUCUCACACCGCUCCUACCUUCCCGUCGUUCCUCUCCCUCCUCCCGCUGCUCUCUCUGUUCCCAUCUAAUCUCUCUCUCUCUCUAUACUCCGUGGACAAAGCCUGCCAUGGAUCUCCAGCCGUCGACUACUGGAGCUUCGUCCCCAUCGCCAAAGUUCCCCCACGCAUCGCCCGGCCGCUCGCCGAUGUGGGAAGGUGACCACCGCGUCCACCAGGAGCACGGCGCCGCGUGCGCCACCGGAUAUGGCCGGACCGGACAUCCAAGUCCUCCUCUCGGCGGAUCCGCCUCUUCCCUGCUGUCUCCUUGCCCCGACGCCGCCUUCCCUUGCCUCGCCGUCGGCAAGUCCCACCACUCGAACUCUCACCGCACCAUGGAUGGAUUUGCUUCGACCACCUCGGCGCCUCCGGCUGCAGAUCAAGCCACUGCCCUGGAGCCUCUCAACCGACGCCGCCGGAACUCCUCUCGCUGUCGCCCAUGGCCUCGUCUUCGGCCAGAACGAGCCGUCCCCGACCUCUCCUCGUCGUCCGUCCGCCGGUCACAGCGCCAUGGCCUCCUCACGUCACCGGGAGGUCCUCCCGCUGACCGGAGCCGCUGGAGUCGGGGCCUCCUCAGUUCUGCCGGGUCCCUGCUCCAUCCCGCGACCCGAGCUCGCGUGCUCGUUUCCUCUGCUCGCGCGACAGGACGAGCGCCGUAUGCGUUGACCACUUCCUGCCUCAUCAGCCAGUGGGUGAGACCCCCAGCCGAGGCCGUGACCAAUCCCAGCCCCGAGCCGGCCUGAUGGCCCAUGUUGCAGGUGCCGAGGAUACCGGUGCAGGUGAAGCUACUAAACUCUAAUGGGAGUUCGACGAGGAUCUGGAUCCUUACUAUGUGUCGUUUCCUGAUGAUCAGUAAUGGAGCCCAGUUGGGACGAUCGGGGAUCUAGCAUUUGGGGUUUAUCUUCCUUUUUAUUCGGUUUUGACCGUAGUCGGUCUUUGAGUGUAUUUGGAUGAUGUAUGAAUUAUUUAUGCAUUGUGUGAAGUGGCGAUUGUAAGCCAACUCUUUAUACCAUUCUUAUUCAGUA